rnacentral:tRNA from 1 species
UGGGGCGUGGUGCAAUGGCAGCACAGCAGCCUUUGGAGCUGUUUAUCCUGGUUCGAGUCCAGGCGCCCCUG